UGAGGGAUAUUGGGCAAUGGGGGAAACCCUGACCCAGCGACGCCGCGUGAGGGAAGACGGUCUUCGGAUUGUAAACCUCUGUCUUUGGGGACGAAGAAGGACGGUACCCAAGGACGAAGCUCCGGCUAACUACGUGCCAGCAGCCGCGGUAAUACGUAGGGAGCGAGCGUUGUCCGGAAUUACUGGGUGUAAAGGGAGCGUAGGCGGGAUUGCAAGUUGGAUGUGAAAACUGCGGGCUCAACCCGGAGAGUGCAUUCAAAACUGCGAUUCUUGAGUGAAGUAGAGGCAAGCGGAAUUCCUAGUGUAGCGGUGAAAUGCGUAGAUAUUAGGAGGAACACCAGUGGCGAAGGCGGCUUGCUGGGCUUUUACUGACGCUGAGGCUCGAAAGUGUGGGGAGCAAACAGGAUUAGAUACC
rnacentral:rRNA from 1 species